GUCUUCUGCGUCGCUCACGCUGGGAGCCGUAGACCGGAGCUGUUCCUAUUCGGCCAUCUUGGCUCUUCCCCCGGUAAGUAUUUUGCCACUCUAUCAAGAAAGUUAAGGACUCUCAAGCUUUUGGAUGCUUAGAAAAUACAUCAGAGGAGGACAGAAACUCAGAUAUCUCUGCAUCCUGAAUUCAUUGGUGGAAUUGCUACUGUGCCCAGUAAAAGCAUUUCAGUCAUGCAAGGAGAGGAUGUUAAGGUAAAGGAAUGAAACCGAAGACCAGAAAGUGGUAAAAAGCAGCAGUGAAGAAACCAAAACUAAAACAAACCAGCAAAGACCAUAUUCAGCUCACAGCCUUUCAGGAACUGAAGUAGAUCAUUGGCCCAGACUCUCCACUGAAUCCGAAGAAUGCUUUGCAGGGGAUGUUCAGAGGCUUACCUGAGAAUGAGAGAAAAAGAAAUGAGCAAAUGACUCCUGAUUAUCAGUGGGAGACAGGAAGCGACCAUUUAACAUCCAAAGGAAAACUCAGAGCUAAAACCAAGACUCUUGAUUUGAGAGACAGAGGAACCUGUGAUAUUCUUUGCAAAAUUUGUCAACUGUACACCCUGUGAAAAGAGAGAAGAGAACCAAAAGACCUCUCGAGCAAAAGAUAUUGCCACAAAGUCCUCCAGAAACCAUACCACUUCUUGACAGGGUGUGGAAGGCCGUGAGAACUGGAAGCUGUUCUGCCACUAUCAAAGGGGGCUCACCUGAUUUGGAAAAGUGAGCACUGGCAACACCCAUGCCCAACCGUGUUGUCAGUGGAAGUGAUCAUCUUGGACACAAGAUGUUGCUCUUGUUAAUUGCACUCUGCAAGUGGUAAGCAUCUGGACCUGCAUUUCAUUACAAAACUACCAAAACAGAAUUCUAUAUCCAGUGAAACUAUCCUUCAAAAAUGAAGGCUAAAUAAGGAUGUUCCCAGAUUAAUAAAGACUGAGAGAAUUUGCUGUUAGCAAAUCUACCUUCUAAGAAAUACUAAAGGAAGACCUUCAAUGCUGAAAGGAAAUGACACCAGAUCCAGAACUACGGGAAGAAAUGUAGAGCAACGGAAAAGGGCUGGGCCAUACAGUAUGUACUCAAGAUUUAGUAGUUAAUUGACUGAUUGAACUUUAUAGAGAAGUACAGAUACAAUAUUACGGAAAUUCAGAGGAGAGAAAUUACUAACAACUUGAGCAGGUGGAAAAGCAUUGAAGCUUGGUAGAGAAGAUGGUGGAACUGUGCAGCAUUGAGACAUGUCCAGUUGGAGAGAUAUGAAGCUGGGUGAAAGUAGUACAAGAGGAGGCAACUGAAUGUACAACGGCAAAGAGAAAGAAGAAUCAGUGGAUGUGCAGAGGAAAGAGUGUGCAGGGAGCUUCCGGUAGCUGCCACAAUCCUUGGCUAGUGACCCCUUCCACCAUCUUCAAAGUCAGCAUCAAUCUUUAAAAAGCAUCUAUAACCCACUGAAUAAGAUGGGUUAGAAGAUGAAGCUGCUGAGAAGUGCUGCAAAGCUGAUGGUAUUGAUAUCAACACAGACAUCAUAUGCUUUUGGGGAACAGUGCACUCAGUUGACACUUAUUCCUAAUAAAUUCAAACAGUGGAGAGUUCUCUAACUUAUUUUUAAAGUCUCUUUAAUCUAUACUUCCUAUUGUUGAAUGAUACAAAUUAGUUUCUUGAUCUCUGUUCAGAUACUGGGUUACAUACAAUUUUUGGCCAUUUAAGUAUACUGUAAAUCCCUCCAGAAAACUUUCUUAUAUUGUCUUGUGCUUCACAGCUAGUUUUCAGGCAUAUGUACUGCUUACAAAUUAGUUUGGUAUUUAAAAAGGAGUUGUGGCUUGAGUUACAAAGAUUUAAAGUUAAAGCAAUGCUCUUAAUAAUUUCUAUUUUCUCACUGAAUCAAUUCACACUAGACACCCCUUUAACUUCCAUAUACAUGAUCACUCACCUUCUGUCCAAAAAUCUAUUUUAGGAAAGAGCAGAAGUACAAGAGGACCUUGUAAACAAUACUACUAAUAUUAGUAGGAAUACGGCAAGGUUUAAGAGUGACAACUUUAGCUUCACUACUUUCAAGCUGCUUACUAGCUGGGACAAGUUGUAUAAAUUCUCCGAGCCCAUUUUCCUCAUUUAAAAAAGGGGCCAUAGACAUUUUUCCAAAGACAUACAAAUGGCCAACAAGCACAUGAAAAGAUGCUCAAUAUAGUUAACCAUUAGGGAAAUAUAAAUAAAAAACACAAUUUCAACCACAAUAGUACUACAUACACAUUAGAAUAAUUAUGUUAAAAAUAAAAAAAUAACAAGUGCUUUCAAGAAUGUAGAGAAAUUGGAACCUCUGCAUUACUGAUAGGAAUGUAAAAUGGUACAGUCUCUUUGGAAAGCAGUCUGAUAGUUCCUCAAAAGGUUAGACAUAGAAUGACCGAAUGACCCAGCAAUUCUACUCCUAGGUAUACACAAGAGAAAUGGAAACAUAUGUCCACACAUAAAUUUGUACAUGAAUGCUCACAGCAGCAUUGUUCAUAAGAGCCACAGAAUACAAAUGAUCAAAAUGUCAGUCAACUAACUAAUGAAUAAAUAAAAUGUGGUCGAUUAUUAUUUAGCAAUGAAAAGGAGUGAAGUACUUAUACAUGCAAUAACAAUGACUGAACCUUGAUAACACUAUGCUAAAUGUAAGAAGCCUAUCACAAAAGACCACAUGUUACAUAUUUUAUUCAUAUUAAAUAUCCAGAAUAGGCAAAUCUAUAGUUACAGAUAGUUGAUUAAUAACUACCUAAAGCUGAGGAUGGGGUGAGGCUGAGGGACUGAGGAGUGACUGUCAAUGGGUACAGAGUUUCUUUCUGGGGUGUUGAAAAUGUUAUGAAAUUCUGGUGAUGCUUGCACAACAUCGUGAAUAGACCAAAAAUCAUUGAAAUGGAUGUUUUAAAUUGCCAAUUGUACGGUAUAUGACUAAUAUAAUAAUAAAACUGUUAAAAUGAGGCAAGUAGUUGGGUUUAUCACAAAGAGUUGCUGGGAAAAUUAAAUAAAAUAAGCUAUAUAAAGUAUUUAAUAUAGUGCCUAGUACCCUGUAAGCAAUCAAUAAGUGACAGCUCCACCACCACCACCACUGCCACUACUACUACUACUGAUAUUAUCACUACAAAUAAUAAUAAUUAUUAUUAGUAGUAGAAUUAUUAUUAAAUAAGAUUAUAAUAAUAAUUGCUAUUCUUAGCAGUACUAGAAAUGUUAUUAAAUUAUACUAAGUAGAGUAAUAACAUUAUUAUUUGUAAUAGUAGAGCUGUUAUUAAAUAAUAAUUACUAUAGUUGUUAAUAUUAUUUAGCUGUCCUUAUUAGAAUGAUAGUUUUUUCCUAGGAUAGAGUUUGGGGUCUAGAUAAUGUUACCAUACCCAGUGUGCUAUAAUAAAAAGAAAAAACUUCGGAGUGAAACAGAUCUUGUUGAAAUCCCAUCUUUGUCACUUACUAAUUAUGUAACAUCAUGUAAGCUAUUUCACCUGUCUGUGGUUACGUUUCCUCAUCUGCAAAAUAAUUCAACAAUAUCUACUACUACUUUGAGCUCUUAUGAGUAAUAAGACACUGUAUGUGCAAAUACCCAUUUUAGUGCCUAGUACCUAGUAAAUUCUCAAAUAAUUUUGGUUUCAAAUAUAUGAAAUAAUGGUUUUGGCUUUUUAAAAAUAUGAUGAAACACCAUCAAACUUGUAUCAGUAUCUCAAUAAGACAUAAGCCUAAGCAAUGCCCCCAAACACCAAUGUAUGCAUAGAGGACUGGUUAACAAUCAUGCUAUUUAAGAGAUGUUCGUAAUCACAUUGUUAGAUUAUAACAGACACUAUUUAGUAAACUGUUAACUUUUUUCCCAUUUCAUUCUUAAAAAUCUCAAAACAAGCACAGCUGUUAUAGAAACUUAGACAAAGUAAGGGAACCAGUUUCAGUCUCACUCAAUACUGCAGCCAACUCUUAAGGAAAAGGCUUGGUCCAGAUUUUCCAAAGCUGUAAAUAAUGCACAUGGUAUAUGAUCUGGGCAAUAGAAUGGUUUUCAGUUUGGGGUAGCUCACGCUAAGCUUGUGCGUGUUAUCCUGAAUAAAUAGGUCUUUUGGAAACAACUCACUAACCCUAGAAUGUCUACAAGGGUGAGGAAAUUCUGCCAUGAACUAGCUCCCAUUACGUGUGCCAAGAAAACUGAGUUAGUUCAUAAUACCCUCCUUCUUACUCUCCAAAGUCUCCAUAGUGUUCAGUUAUUCAAGAUUACAUAAAAGUUUUUAAGGAGUUAUUUGAAACUAAGAGGGUAAGAAUAUGAUAUAAAAAAUUUAAAAAAUCCCUUGCUUCCACCAUUAUACACACAAUGCAUAUACCAAGUUAUGACUCCAGCUAAUGAAAUAACCAUGUAUUACUAUUUGCAUUAACAAUAAUUCUACUUCAUCCAUGUCCCUACAAAGGACAUGAACUCAUCCUUUUUUAUGGCUGCAUAGUAUUCCAUGGUGUAUAUGUGCCACAUUUUCUUCUUAAAGUAUAAAAAAAAAUAAAAAUAAAAAAAUAAAAAAUACAAUAAUUCUAGUUUGACAUUUAGCUCAGUUGUUGACUUGCUUUGGAUUGUUCAUUUUAUUUCAACUUUAGAAGGAGUUGAUUAAUUUUGUUAAACUUAAUUGAUUCAAGGGUAUCAUAAAUUUCCAUUUUUAGUAUUUGCCACAUUAAAGCAAAUGGUGGACAAUUUAUGAUUUCAAAAGGUUCUAUUCUUGGUAAUUCUUAAUUAUUUUCAGAUAAAUCUAGUAAUUGGGUUGAAGCUACAGAGUUUUGUCAUUGUUUUUAGUGAAAGCCUAAGCAUAUAGAACAUGAGGUCCUGCCACAAGAAAAAUCAUUUUCCUUUUUCCCUCUUUUGGCAGUUCUCAUAUUGCGAUGCAAUUCUACUUAUGCACAUCUGUUUCCCCACUAGAUUGAGAACUCCUUAAGGCCAAGAAAUUCAUUUAAUUCACCUCUGUAUUUUCAGGAGCUAAUAUGCUGGCAUCCAGUAAGAA
rnacentral:lncRNA from 1 species